rnacentral:lncRNA from 1 species
GCCGUGCGCAGCUAGUACUUGGCAACGGUGGAAUAUCAGCUGGGCAACGAUCUUUUUUUCAACUGGCUGUCAUCGUGACGGUUUAUGAGUUUGCAGAGCAAAACAAUUGUUUAGCUCUCAAGGCCAGUGUCUCCUACGUCAGCCAGAACCAUGGGGAGUUGUCUCAAAGUGGGCAGUACACGCAACAUCGUCCGAAAGCGGCACAGAGUCGUCCAGAGAGGUAGCUUGGGUCUUCGAAGAAGGCUUUAAUCUCUUCACAGAGUUGUCAGAUGUCUCCUAAAUGCCUAUGUUUAGGGCAGGAGGCACUACGGGGAACACUGCCGGGUUGGAGACAACGUAUAUGUGCUUGCACGAGGCUUCAGGAAGCCUGAUCCGAAGUCGGACGCGUGUGCUGGUAGGAACCCACAACUGCGUGUCGAACCCUUUUCUCAAAGCUAAUUCAUCUCAGAAAUUCAUGCUCAUUGUGCAGUCUAUUUCAUGUCUCUGGCACAUUCACACCACACGUUUAAGAUGUCAGUUUCGCUCCCCUGCGGUGUAUAAUCGUUAUCAAUCUCGCAGUGUGAGCUAGCAUUUUGUCGGCAGGAGCUGUGAGCAGUCGGUCGUCCGUACAAUUGGUAAAGCAUUUUGAAAGAAGAAAUCAUUUUGUUAUUCAUAGAGAGUGAGAAUCGGAAGAUGGUGUUGAUGAAGUAUUCCGUCUGUUCCCUGUCGCAGACAGAGCAGUUCACUCCUUCACAGGCUGGUGGGUAUGACGAUUAAGGCAAAAUCAUGCCUGUCGACAUUUCUUGCACGCUAUCGUACCGUCGCGGCCGUGUAAUCAGUCAGUUUUUUCAAGAAUGCAUUGAUGUUCAGUUUCGCGGGAGAAAGGCGCAUUCAGGGAUUCCGGAGGCAUGUACUGCAGAUGGCUUCCGUUUUUUAUCCUAGGGUGUGAGUUCGCGGCUGACAUUGUUGGAGAUAUCUCCUGUCAAAGGUGUCAUCGGCAGGCCGAUACAAGGCAAGCGUAUACUGCGCCUACGUGCUGUUCACAGGAGAGAUGACGCUUUACGUGCUCAACUGCAUCUACCGUAUGCAGCAGUUUCGUUUUGAAAACUGAGGUUUCGCAGGAAAGCACACCGAUCCGUAUACGGUUGCUCCUAACCAACUCUGUCUCACCUUCGCUUAUGUGUAACCAUGCUUUCAGAAGCCAGUAUAACCUCGAUCUC